AAUAUUGGACAAUGGGGGGAACCCUGAUCCAGCCAUGCCGCGUGUGUGAAGAAGGUCUUCGGAUUGUAAAGCACUUUAAGUUGGGAGGAAGAGUUGUAGGCUAAUACCUUGCAAUUUUGACGUUACCAACAGAAUAAGCACCGGCUAACUUCGUGCCAGCAGCCGCGGUAAUACGAAGGGUGCAAGCGUUAAUCGGAAUUACUGGGCGUAAAGCGUGUGUAGGCGGUUCGGAAAGAAAGAUGUGAAAUCCCAGGGCUCAACCUGGGAAUUGCAUCCAAAACUGUCUGACUAGAGUAUGGCAGAGGGUGGUGGAAUUUCCUGUGUAGCGGUGAAAUGCGUAGAUAUAGGAAGGAACACCAGUGGCGAAGGCGACCACCUGGGCUAAUACUGACACUGAGGUGCGAAAGCGUGGGGAGCAAACAGG
rnacentral:rRNA from 1 species